CCAGACUCCUACGGGAGGCAGCAGUGGGGAAUAUUGGGCAAUGGGCGCAAGCCUGACCCAGCAACGCCGCGUGAAGGAAGAAGGCUUUCGGGUUGUAAACUUCUGUUAAGAGGGAAGAGAAGAAGACGGUACCUCUUGAAUAAGCCACGGCUAACUACGUGCCAGCAGCCGCGGUAAUACGUAGGUGGCAAGCGUUGUCCGGAUUUACUGGGUGUAAAGGGCGUGUAGCCGGGCCGGCAAGUCAGAUGUGAAAUCCCAGGGCUCAACCUUGGAACUGCAUUUGAAACUGUUGGUCUUGAGUAUCGGAGAGGCAGGCGGAAUUCCUAGUGUAGCGGUGAAAUGCGUAGAUAUUAGGAGGAACACCAGUGGCGAAGGCGGCUUACUGGACUGUAACUGACGUUGAGGCUCGAAAGCGUGGGGAUCAAACAGGAUUAGAUACCCUUGUAA
rnacentral:rRNA from 1 species